GCCGGGUGUGGUGGCUCACGCCUGUAAUCCCAGCACUUUGGGAGGCUGAGGUGGGCGGAUCACCUGAGGUCAGGAGUUCGAGACCAGCCUGACCAACGUGGAGAAACCCCAUCUCUA
rnacentral:SRP_RNA from 1 species